rnacentral:rRNA from 1 species
CGUAGGGCGCAAGCGUUAUCCGGAAUUAUUGGGCGUAAAGAGCUCGUAGGCGGUUUGUCGCGUCUGCCGUGAAAGUCCGGGGCUCAACUCCGGAUCUGCGGUGGGUACGGGCAGACUAGAGUGAUGUAGGGGAGACUGGAAUUCCUGGUGUAGCGGUGAAAUGCGCAGAUAUCAGGAGGAACACCGAUGGCGAAGGCAGGUCUCUGGGCAUUAACUGACGCUGAGGAGCGAAAGCAUGGGGAGCGAACAGGAUUAGAUACCCUGGUAGUCCAUGCCGUAAACGUUGGGCACUAGGUGUGGGGGACAUUCCACGUUUUCCGCGCCGUAGCUAACGCAUUAAGUGCCCCGCCUGGGGAGUACGGCCGCAAGGCUA